rnacentral:lncRNA from 11 species
GGAAAGAGAAAUCAAUAGGAAUUUUAACAGCAGUAGGCAGUGAUACCAUUUGCUGAUGCACCUGGAAGUCAUGCUUGGGUGGCGAGCGACUGAAGGAAGAGAACAAAGCACAGCCUUCCUAGUAAACGUCAGAAAGCAGCUGUGGAGACAGAAGGGAGGUUUGCAGAUACUGUGGCAGUCUUUCCCCAAGCUGGUGUACUCCUGGUAUUUUGGAGUUUACCUCCCAUCAGUCUCAGUCAGCAUGGCCAUGGUGAAGAAUCAUGUGAGUUAUAAUCCAAAAUAUUUAAAAUGUAGCAGCUUGGAGAAAGGUGCUGGUAUAGAACAGGAGAUAAACAGGUGCCUUCCUCCUACACAUUUUCUUCCUACUGCAUUCUAAACCAAUAAAUAUUCUUAGAUCAUGUUUAAAGUUUGCCCUACAUAGCCUCAUAUAGUUAUUUAGGCAAGGAGCAUCCAUAGGACUCUUUAGAGAAGCAAUUUUGCUUUUUCCAGAUGGGUUUCUAAAGUGGGGGAGUAGGUGUAAUUUAUUAUAUUUGACCUGCACUUUGACUAGAAUCUCUGAAACAUGGGUAAGAAGCUAACAUGCAUUUAGAAGAAGCGUAGUAAGGAUUAUGGUUAUUUACAUAACUACAGCUAGUGAGCUGCAGUGACUGCAAACUGUGUGAAAGCUAGUUGCAAAGACCUGUAGACGCAAGUAUUAGUCCCACAGUGACAUUGGAAGAGGAACAAAACAGGAAAUCUGACCCCCUUUAUAAAACUGUGCAGAAGGCAAUACAAAAAUGAACUGAUAACUCUUUCUGAAUUUCCUUCCUCCCACUCGAAUGACAAAGCAGAGAGAAGGCAGUCAUCCUGGUAAAUUCAAUGCAUGUACUUCAUGGUGGACAAGAGGGGCGACAACGUUCCAUCAACCCACGUCUUGCCUGGGGGAGGAAGCACCACACACCAGCUGUUGUGGUGUAUUUCUCAGUACUCUGGAAAUUAUUUUAUCAUGGCUCAUCCCUCUUAGAAAAGAACAACUUGAGCCUUCUGUCUAACUUAGUGAGCAAGACCCUCAGAUGAUGCUAUGAAAUCAGAUCCACCAGGUAGAGGGAAUAUAUGAAGAGAAAGAAUUUCUCAAAUGAAACCCACCACCACAAAUAAUGCCAAUAGCUUUCAGCAGAACUUCCACAAAUAAUGGGAAACCUACACCAGUGAUUCUUAACCAACGAUGCUGCAAAAUGCUGUUGGACUUCCAUUCCCAGAAUCCUUCACUAGCAAUCAUAUUGUUUGGGGUUUAUGUGUUGUUGUUGUUUUUUACUCAACAAUGUCAAAGUUUAAGCACUGAAGCACUUGCUCAUGGCCCUAGUAAAAUAUUCUUGUUAUUGUAAAAGUUCCUUUCUGCAAAAGGAAGCCUCACAUAUACAAGAAGGUGCCAAGAAUAUACUCAGAGACUUGGAAGAAAUCCCGUAACUACCUUGUGCUGUCAUUAUAAUGUACCCUCCUCAGGAACAAAAUGCUUCAUAAAUAUGAUCAAGACUUGUGUCUGUGUAUCAAAUUAGAAAAUGAGAAAUCAGUUAUGUGAAACGUGGCAGUUCACAGAAUAAAAUACAUGUUCAUAUCUGACAAAGUCCAUGAUUUGAGAUGUGCUGUAUAAAAAAGUUAUUAACCUGCAUCUUUUUUCUUAUUUUAUGAUUUCCAGAUAUAUUGUACCACAAUUCUUACUUUUAUUUUAUUUAUUUACUUUGUUUUAUAUCCACCUUCUCUCUCUCAUUGAGGGAUUCAGAGCGGCUAACACUCAGCAACAAUUCGAUGCCAUUCGAA